AUCUUGGAUGGGCCUGUGGCAGCCCUGGCGUCCCCUCACAGGGCCCUGCAGUCCUGCUGGGCACGGACACCCAGCACAGGUUAAGACAUCUUCUGGCAACGGUAGUCAUGGAACUAUCUGCUUCUUAAUAAAGAUGUAAUGGAAUUGAGGAAGCCAGCGGGAUUCUGCUCAUGAUGCUUUCUAAAGGAUUCAGUCUGUGCACCAGUUUAGCUCUGCUGGAAAUCCUCCCUGCUCCACCUCAUUGCUCUGGGUUCAAGGACUGCCUAACCACAGGGGCUCCUGCGGUGAAUGGAAACUGCUCAGCAGUCAGGGACACAGAGAGAGGUGUGUAAGAAGUGACAACUUUGGAAACAGUAAUGCUGGUUUGCUACCGUCCUGCAAAGCUCAGCUCUGCCCAGAGUUUGUAGCAGCAGCAGCCAUGAGAAACUCCCCUUUGCUUUAUAAAUGCCAAUCUGGAGCAUCACUUCCAAAAAAAUUCGCUCUGAAGUUCAGUGUCCAAGUCUGAAAAGUAGAAUCCUUAUAUGAAGUAAAUCCUUGUGCCUUACUUAAGAAGAGCAUCCUUAUACUUUCUGGGGUGCCUGCAGUUGUGGUGGUCUGGCUCCUGAGGUGAGGAGUGUGAACUGGAACACACUGGAGGCAGGAGAAGAGGAAUUUUGCUGAGGUUCAGGUAAAUCUUGUUCUUAAGCAUCCAUAUUGUCAGUUCUUAUUCUUUCCAGCAGUAAACGGGUACUGCUGAAGUGCUUUUUACCAGUAUUUCAUUCCACACAAUACUACGUACAUCAUCUAAACAUCUGUUUUAUGCACAUCUUCAGAAUUUCGUGACAAAGCAGAUUCCCCUGAGGUUGUAAUUCCAAGCUGGUCCUUAGCUGCACCAUUAUUGUAUUAUUUUUUAGGUUUUUUUUUUCAAGUUGCAUUGAUAACAUUAUUUGUUCUUUAGACAUAAGCUUUUGAAAAUCUAUUAUUUGAAGUCUACAAGCUAGAAAACAUAGACUAUCAUUCUAAAAAGUAAGAUUUUUGUGUUCUCUUUUGCAUGUUUAUGUUUUCCUGCAGUGGGGGUCAUUUCAACCUUGUUUAUCAGUGCUCUAGGGAAGGAUUUGCCCAGAUCUUCUGAUCUCUUUUUCUCAGAGAGGGAAACAUACAGGAGUUCUGGUACAAAGCUAAUUGUGCUGCUCGCUGAGACUUUUUGCCCUGGAUUUAGGGUUUGCUUGCUGUUUGCCAUGUGCCAGGGAAGAAGUCUGAAUUGUGCUGCUUACACUGUUCUCUGCUUGUGCUGGACAAAGGUUCGUUUCAAAUGCAAAGCAUAUGAGAUUGAUUGGAAUAUUGUUGUAUGGGUCUCUAUUAAAUGAGGAAGUCUCUGUUUUAACUCUUCGUAGUGGAACUUGUAAGAACUAAACCAGCUCUGUUCCAAAGGCUCCUUCUCUUUCAUGGAUUAUAAUAUUUUAUUCAUGUGACAGUAGUCCCGUAAGGUUCCACAUGAACAUCUCUUCCUUUCCUCAGCAUUGUUAAUUUUAAAGGAUUUACUAAUUUUGGAUUUAGCAUUGGAUGGUGCCCUUGAUAAAACUCCAUGAGAAGUAUUAUUUACAUUAAAGGUUUCUGUUUCCUACUGAAAUCAGUGGAGAUGAGUCACAAAAGUGCAAAGAUGGCAAAAAGCCAGCAUUUGUGAAGAUUGAGCUCUUUAUCUUCCUUCUCCAGAGCUCCUUGCAGGAACAGCUCCAGCGGUUGUCCUGGAAGCGGUGUCAUUGUCACACAUUCAAUACAACCUUCCCUUUUAACAGAAGACAUGCGUUUCUUUAUCUCUCUAAUUAAAGCUUAGACUUCAAAACAUCAUGCAUUGUCUGUGGCUCCAGCCAUCUUCUUUUAGAAGAAGAAUAACCCUUUCUUUUUUUUGGGGAAAAAAGUCUCAAUGCCAUCUCUAUACCUCAUGGAUUUUGAAGUCAGCACAUGAACAUUGUGAAUUGCAUAAAUCCAGUGGAUGUUUCGUGCUUCAACACAAAAACUUGUCACCCAGGACAUUAUUGCCCGAGGCUGGGAACAGAGAAGCUGCAAGUCCCUGCCAGACGCACUGCAGACAUACUGAUAGAUCUCUGCAAUGUAUUUUUUACUGUCCAAAUACUAGCUUCAUAAGUUCAUGUAAAAGUCAAGCAAUAAAAAUAUCUCCAC
ensembl:lncRNA